rnacentral:rRNA from 1 species
AAAUUGAAGAGUUUGAUCAUGGCUCAGAUUGAACGCUGGCGGCAGGCCUAACACAUGCAAGUCGAGCGGUAGCACAGAGAGCUUGCUCUCGGGUGACGAGCGGCGGACGGGUGAGUAAUGUCUGGGAAACUGCCUGAUGGAGGGGGAUAACUACUGGAAACGGUAGCUAAUACCGCAUAACGUCGCAAGACCAAAGUGGGGGACCUUCGGGCCUCAUGCCAUCAGAUGUGCCCAGAUGGGAUUAGCUAGUAGGUGGGGUAAUGGCUCACCUAGGCGACGAUCCCUAGCUGGUCUGAGAGGAUGACCAGCCACACUGGAACUGAGACACGGUCCAGACUCCUACGGGAGGCAGCAGUGGGGAAUAUUGCACAAUGGGCGCAAGCCUGAUGCAGCCAUGCCGCGUGUGUGAAGAAGGCCUUCGGGUUGUAAAGCACUUUCAGCGGGGAGGAAGGCGGUGAGGUUAAUAACCUCAUCGAUUGACGUUACCCGCAGAAGAAGCACCGGCUAACUCCGUGCCAGCAGCCGCGGUAAUACGGAGGGUGCAAGCGUUAAUCGGAAUUACUGGGCGUAAAGCGCACGCAGGCGGUCUGUCAAGUCGGAUGUGAAAUCCCCGGGCUCAACCUGGGAACUGCAUUCGAAACUGGCAGGCUAGAGUCUUGUAGAGGGGGUAGAAUUCCAGGUGUAGCGGUGAAAUGCGUAGAGAUCUGGAGGAAUACCGGUGGCGAAGGCGGCCCCUGGACAAAGACUGACGCUCAGGUGCGAAAGCGUGGGGAGCAAACAGGAUUAGAUACCCUGGUAGUCCACGCCGUAAACGAUGUCGAUUUGGAGGUUGUGCCCUUGAGGCGUGGCUUCCGGAGCUAACGCGUUAAAUCGACCGCCUGGGGAGUACGGCCGCAAGGUUAAAACUCAAAUGAAUUGACGGGGGCCCGCACAAGCGGUGGAGCAUGUGGUUUAAUUCGAUGCAACGCGAAGAACCUUACCUGGUCUUGACAUCCACAGAACUUUCCAGAGAUGGAUUGGUGCCUUCGGGAACUGUGAGACAGGUGCUGCAUGGCUGUCGUCAGCUCGUGUUGUGAAAUGUUGGGUUAAGUCCCGCAACGAGCGCAACCCUUAUCCUUUGUUGCCAGCGGUCCGGCCGGGAACUCAAAGGAGACUGCCAGUGAUAAACUGGAGGAAGGUGGGGAUGACGUCAAGUCAUCAUGGCCCUUACGACCAGGGCUACACACGUGCUACAAUGGCAUAUACAAAGAGAAGCGACCUCGCGAGAGCAAGCGGACCUCAUAAAGUAUGUCGUAGUCCGGAUUGAGUCUGCAACUCGACUCCAUGAAGUCGGAAUCGCUAGUAAUCGUAGAUCAGAAUGCUACGGUGAAUACGUUCCCGGGCCUUGUACACACCGCCCGUCACACCAUGGGAGUGGGUUGCAAAAGAAGUAGGUAGCUUAACCUUCGGGAGGGCGCUUACCACUUUGUGAUUCAUGACUGGGGUGAAGUCGUAACAAGGUAACCGUAGGGGAACCUGCGGUUGGAUCACCUCCUUA